rnacentral:lncRNA from 1 species
GCCCUGUGCAGGUCUCUGUGCCAAUGUGGUUGUGUUUGGUUCCAACAGGGCCACCACAGCAGCAGGUCCCGGCGGGACAGGAUCCCAAGUGACUGUGCCCAGCUGGCCCUGCACAGCCCAGGACAGCACCAUGAGUUGCCGGACACGGGCCCCCUGCCCGCUCGCAGUGCCCCACUCCCCCUCCUCGCAGGGGCGGGCAGGAUCUACUCCAUGCAGAACAUCUUCCAGACCAUGUACCUCCUGGGCCAGGUGCUCUUCCACCGUGUCCAGGACUCUCUGCAAGGCCCGGUGCCAUCCAGCUCCCAGGAGGCUGGUCCAGCCACAGAGAGCACCUUGGAGGAGGUUGGGGUGUCUGAGGUGGCAGCGAUGAGAAAGCAGCUGGCGAGGAUCUCGGGGAGGCUCCGUGUGCUGGAGGAGCAGUGCCAUGCCUGGCAACAGAAGGAGGCCCUGGUCUACUCUGUGAUGAUCUCUGCCUGCCUCAUCAACACGUGGCUCUGGCUGAGAAGAUGACUGCCCAUGCCUGACCUCCCUGCUCCCCUGGGCAGAGAGAGGAUCCUUUCUCGUGUACUUGCCAGCAGUAAAACUACGUGUUUGUCCUUAACUUGACCUGCUUUUUGCACUGUGGGCCCUUGGGGAUCCGUGUCCUUUAGGCCUUGAUGACAAUGAAGGUGCCAUCCCUCUCUAGCACCAGAGGUGGGUGAGGGAGAUGCUGAAGCUGGACCUUGUGCUCCAACAAGUGGAGAUGGUGCUGGGGCCGUGGGGUCCAGGGAUUAUGGCCCAGCAGGUGCAGUCCCAGGCUCUGUGUACAUUAGCAGCCACCCUGUGUGUUCAGUGGGGCCAGUACCUGUGUAGGAAGCUGCUGUGAAAAGCUGAGGCCUUCUAAAGAAAUCGGUGGAUGACACAGGAGGUGUCUGUUCUGUGCAAAGCAAGGGGAGACCCUCUGGCCCUUGGGCUGUCUGCCAGGGGAGUCACAAAACCAAGGUGUUGGUGUUGUGGGCAUGGGGUCCUGUUACAGUUGUAGCACGUGGUUCUACAGCCCAAUCCCCUCGCCACACCACAUCUUGGAUAACUCAGCUCUGACCCCAUAAAUGUUCUCAGCCAACUGCUGUGGUCUGCUCCUCAUAUUCUGUAGAGUGACUGAGUGUUUCUAAACUGCUUUUGGAGUUUCUUUUCCUCACAAAAUUGCUGUUUGGUGGCGGUAGCACUGCCAGGUCUCCUGUGCCACAGCCCCUGCUCUGGGAGGGAUGGAGUUGGAGGAGCCAGGAGCUCACAUCCCUGCAGCUGCUGCUGUGCCACCACCCCUGUCAGCUCCCAUCUUGCUGGAGGCAGUUCAGCAGUGGGUUUGCAGAUGUUCAAAUCCAGGGUGACUGUGAGAGCAUUGCUGACAUCUGGGCUUACCCAGGAGCUUGGCUCUUUCCCAAAGAGAUUUACAUGGGAAAAUCCCUGUGGUGACUCUAUGGAUUAUAAGACCUUGUACCAGCAGUGAUAGCCCCAGACAGGUCAUGGAAAAUCACCCAUUAGCAGCAGGAGGUAUUUUUUGGGUUUCCAGUGCUGAGGGGAGGAUCUCUCCCGGUUCUGCUGCCAAGCUGUAGCUUCAGUGAUGGUACAAGAACACAGGUGAAGGAAAUUCCUGACCCAGCUGCUCUUUAGCAACACAUGAGCCCAGUUCAACAGCUUUGCUUUUCUUUCCUUCUGUGGAGUUCGGUAACACUUGGAUCUGAGGUGACUUUGAGAUGCUUUUGGUUGCUCAUCCAGCACAUCUGCUGGAGUUGUGCCCGCAGGCUCUGGGGACAGGUUUUAGCAAGGCUUAACAGGACCUGUCUGUGCCACCUAUAAGUAAUUACAGCUGGAUCCACAGGUCAUCCAGAUGUCCCAAUAGCUUAUUUACAGACAUGGAUGCUUGGCUGUUUUCUGCUUGAAACUGCAUCAAGCAUCUGUGACUGUAAAUCUGGCAGCUGGACACUGACUAAUAAAUAACUGUCCCACAAGUAAUUGCA